rnacentral:lncRNA from 1 species
AAACCCACCCAGAUUCUAGGAAAGGGAAUAUAGACACCUCUGCCCUAAUAAGAGGACUCACCCUGUAAGAGGGGCAUGUGGAAUGGGAGGUAUUAUGGCUGCCAUCUUUAGAAAUUACAAUUUGCCACAGGUUGUGUUCCCUAGAAGCAGAGGUUGAAAUAGGGGUUCUUUUGUGAGUUAAGGAAGAGGGAGAAGCUAAGCGAGGAUGUAGCUUCAGGUGAAGUCCAGCUUCAACCUGAUCUUGUAGGCAGCACUGGAUCUCACAUUGUCUGCAGCAUUUGUCCUUCCUUGAGGCAAAAAAGUGGGGCUUUUGUACACACAUAUCAGUCAACCCUUAGCUUAGGGAAGCCCCAGGGGAAGGGUUGUAACUCCUAGGUAUCUCGUAGACAGGCAACUCCUCUUGCUUAAAGGCAUUUCCCAGACAAGGCUUGCUCUGUGAGCCUUUAAUAGCAGUUAAUAAAAAGAUUGCCAGAGAUCUGAUUGGGACUGCAACAGCCUCAGCUACAUUAAGAUAUGGGGGCACAUUCAAGGCCUGUUUUAUAGAGACUAGCAGAGACCAUAUAAGAAUCACUAACAUGAGCUGCAUACGCUGGAGGCCCCUCUGCUGUCAUUAUUUUAUGUGCUGGAAAACGCUGCGAUGGGAAGACAGCCCAGUCAGAUGGGGAUGGCCUGGAAUAGGAGCCAGGUCUAUCUGAACUUUUUCUCCAGAGAAUGAAGAUACUGUCAUUACCUCUGCAAAGAAUGCAUCCUAGCACAGAUCAAAGAUCUUCCAAGUCCAGCCACACCAUUUUACAGUUCUGAACCUCGACUUAGGAAAGCAGUGGAUCUUUAUACAUUUGACACAUCCCUUCCCUCUAGGAUCUCUGUGGCUAUUGAAAAUGGACUGGAGAAGAUGAGUGGGAGUGAGAAGAGGAUAACAGAAUCAGAUAAAAACCUGUCAUGUUACUAAGAGCAGGAGAUGAGGCAGCCUGGACCAAGAUGGUGGCAGAGAGAAGAAAAUUGCUUGAGAGAAUUGAUUAAACUACUUGGUUAGCACAGAUAGAGCUGAAUCAAAAAUUAGGAUGGUAAGCUAAGUAAUUUUACACACAAAAAGGCAGAGUUGCAUUCAUAAUUAGUCUCUCCUUCAGACUGAAUAUUACAGACAAAAUAUAGCCAUUGGUGUUGCAAUCACUUCCUUUGGGUUUGUAUCCAAGGUUAAGAAUGUCAGCAUCCAAAGACCCAAAUUCUUAAUGUUUUUAGUUGAUAAAGUUUAUUCAAGGUAGACAGCCUGUGUUGAAUAACUUAGUCUUCCACAAAUUUCAAGAAAAAUCCAUUGUCCCUCUUCUCCGCCACAGACACACUUUAGUUGAACAUUAAGCAUAUUUAUUAAAGAAACAUUCUCCUUGUGCUUUUUCUCCCAAGAUGGAUGGUGUUCUUACUUAGAGUUAUAAGUGUCAGAAUAAAAAUGCCCAUGAGGUUGAAUUGUAUGAUGUUAUAGUAAAGUGAGAUAAACAUUCUCAGAAACAUGAUUGUGACUUAAAAAAAAAAAAAACCAACAAA